rfam:Cajanus cajan Scaffold132527_1, whole genome shotgun sequence.
AUUUGAUGGUGAGGGCAGCUAGCACACAACCUCUUGAAUCUCUCCCAGUACUCAUAUAAGCUCUCCCCUAUGAGUUUCCUAAUUCCAGAUAUAUCUUUUUAGAUU